ensembl:lncRNA
AUGCCUGCCAUCGAGGUGGGGGAAACCUCAGGAGAGAAUGCUUCUGGAACAUGCCCAUACAGCCUGAAAAACUCACAGCAAUCUCUGAGGUUGCCUGCCAUAGAUGUGGGAAAAGUGUUAGGAGAGAAUGCUUCUGGAACAUGGCAAGAGAAGACUGGAAAACUCACAGCAAUCUCUGAGGAUGCCUGCCAUAGAUGUGGGCAAAGAGAGAAUGCUUCUGGAACAUGGCCAGACAGACUGGAAAACUCACAACAACCUAUAGGUGUGGGUGAAACAUCAGGAGAGAAUGCUUCUGGAACAUGGCCAGACAGACUGGAAAACUCAGCAACCUCUGAGGAUGCGAAGUGUCAGGAGAGAGUGCUUCUGGAACAUGGCCAGACAGACCGGAAAACUCUCAGCAACCUCUGAGGAUGCCUGCCAUCGAUGUGGGUGAAGUGUCAGGAGAGAAUGCUUCUGGAACAUGGCCAGACAGACUGGAAAACUCAGCAACCUCUGAGGAUGACUGCCAUAGAUGUGGGCGAAGUUUCAGGAGAGAAUGCUUCUGGGACAUGGCCAGACAGACUGGAAAACUCUCAGCAACCUCUGAGGAUGACUCCGAUAGAUGUGGGCGAAGUUUCAGGAGAGAAUGCUUCUGGGACAUGGCCAGACAGACUGGAAAACUCUCAGCAACCUCUGAGGAUGACUCCCAUAGAUGUGGGCGAAGUUUCUGGAACAUGGCCAGACAGACCUUAAAACUCUCAGCAACCUCUGGGCGAAGUUUCAGGAGAGAAUGCUUCUGGAACAUGGCCAGACAGACUGGAAAACUCAGCAACCUCUGAGGAUGCUUGCCAUCGAUGUGGGCGAAGUUUCAGGAGAGAAUGCUUCUGGAACAUGGCGAGAAAGACUGGAAAACUCUCAGCAACCUCUGAGGAUGUGAAGUGUCAGGAGAGAAUGCUUCUGGAACAUGGCCAGACAGACCGCAAAACUCUCAGCAACCUCUGAGGAUGCCUGCCAUAGAUGUGGGUGAAACGUCAGGAGAGAAUGCUUCUGGGACAUGACCAGACAGACUGGAAAACUCAGCAACCUCUGAGGAUGCGAAGUGUCAGGAGAGAAUGCUUCUGGAACAUGGCCAGACAGACUGGAAAACUCAGCAACCUCUGAGGAUGCGAAGUGUCAGGAGAGAAUGCUUCUGGGACAUGGCCAGACAGACUGGAAAACUCAGCAACCUCUGAGGAUGCGAAGUGUCAGGAGAGAAUGCUUCUGGAACGUGGCCAGACAGCAACCUCUGAGGAUGACUCCCAUAGAUGGGAGUGAAACGUCAGGAGAGAAUGUUUCUGGGACAUGGCCAGACCGACCGGAAAACUCUCAGCAACCUCUGAGGAUGCCUGCCAUAGAUGUCAGGAGAGAAUGCUGCUUCUGGAACGUGGCCAUGCAGCCCGGAAAAUUUGCAGCAACCCAACUCUGACUAAAAGACCUCCCAAGCAUCCCAAAGAAGCAACUGUUCUUGGCCUUUCAAUGGGACUCCCUCAGUGCACCGUCGGACAACGCAUCACGUCUUUGUGGUGUCCAAAUUUCCUCGCUGGACAUUAUAUCUUUCCCGGAAUUGGCCAUAACUGGAGUCCCAUUGACCCCAUGGCCCCGACCACUAAUUCCCACUUGUAUCACACAUUGAACAUUCCCCACAUCUCUCUUUGUUUAUCUAGGCUGGAGGCAAAAAAGUGAAUUCAGUGUCCUGCGCAUGCCAUGCGCAUUCCCCUUCUAUCAGGCUGGAAGAUUCUAAGAAUUUGGGAUUCUUAGUCUGUGAUCAAUCAAAAACCGACCCAGACACAACAUUAUCUGGAGCCUGGGUUGGAGGGGGAGAGGUUUGUGGUCUAGUGGCGCAUUUUUGAGACUGAACAGCAUUGACACCGAGUGCUUUCCGGAGACGGGAUGGCAGGCCAAGACGGGGCUAAUGCGAAUCACUAUAAUUUCUCCGGUGCCUAAUAAUCGCUCGGCUAUUUUAUUUCGAAGCCAAGAGCAACCGGGACGAGGAAAGGGUUACGUCCACAAGCGAGGGAAGUGCUACGAAACUGAGGUAGACACUGCCACCGAUUCAGGCAUGGUUUUCUUUCUUUCCAAGAAAACGCGUGCUGAAAACAUGCCACGUUUCCAGUGAGAGCCGAGGAACGUAUCUUUUUUUUUUAGCACAGAGUGGAGAAUAAAUAAACACAACAAUAAAUACAAAAUACAGGAAUGGACGGGGAUCCAGAACCAAUGGAUCGUCGGUCCUGGUUCAAAUACGAGCGGCGUUCAUUAAAGAUCUCCCCGGACUCUGUUCAUCGCAGGACGCCGAAACUGCACGUGUGUCAUGAUAUAAGUCUCAAUAGGUGACGUGCAAAUUGACAACUUGGAACGGAGCACGGUCUCGAUUUUACGGGUGCCGAAGUGGGGUUUGGGAAUGGACCCAGUGGGAGUUCCUUGACUUGAAAGAAGAUGUUCGUUCGAUGACAUGAAAGAGGUUGAUGGUGAUGAGUCAAGAACUGGUGUCGUCCAUUCCAAUGUGGUCAGACAAUGUGGUCCAAUUCCAGGGAUGCUAUUGAUGGACACACCAUCCAGCAAGUGGAGGAACGUCGUCGCGUACAUAACCCUUCUCCACCUCGCCCAAAAUGUCAACAUGAGUGUGGGGUCCGUGGAAAAAACCACCCAAGACCAUCUUCACAUGCUGGCUGGGUCCCCCGGGUGCUCACACUUUCCCAGAAGCAGGAACGAGUUGAAUGCUCUCCAGCUCUAUUGACAACGUGCCAUGGAAACUAGGAGGACUUUUUCAUUUUCAUAGACCAAAGUGGGCACUGCAGCGAUCCAGGGGGGCGGUGAUGGCACCUAUUACGACACGGGGGCGGGGCCAGGGGAGGGGCGUGGCUUCUUCCCAAGAGCCUGAGACAGGGCUGAGCAUCUAGCCGCCUGUUAGGGGGCGGUGCUAGAGGAGUGGGCGUGGCUUCUUCCCAAGAGCUCGAGACAGGGCUGAGCAUCUAUACCUCUCCUGAGACGCUUGUUGGGACACAAAGGACGGAGCUAGGGAAAGGGGUGGGGCCUCCUUCCAAGAGCCCGAGACAGGGCUGAGCCUCUAUACUUCUCCUGAGAGGCCUUUUAGGACUAAAGGGCGGGGCUGGGGGCGGGGCUUCUUCCCAAGAGCCCGAGACAGGGCUGAGUUUCUAUACUUCUCCUGAGAGGCCUUUUAGGAUUAAAGGACGGGGCUAAGGGUUGGGGCGUGGCCUCCUUCCAAGAGCCUGAGAUAGGGCUGAGCCUCUAUAUCAGGGGUCCUCAAACCUAUUAAGUGGAGGGCCAAUUCACAGUCCCUCAGACUGCUGGGGGACCGGACUAGGAUGAAAUAGUCCAAAAUUAAGAUUGUUGUUGUUGUGUGCCUUCAAGUCAUUUCAGACUUAGGUCAACCCUAAGUCUAUAAAGUUUAGGUCAGAGGCCAGGUCAAUGACCUUGGAGGUCCUUAGUUUGGGGACCCCUGUUCUAGACAAUCUCGUAAGACCAUGAGACCUCUAAAGACCAUCUAGAUGGUCUCAUAAGACCAUAGGUAAGGAAAGAGAUCUUCAAAGACCAUCAUAAGACCAUAUGUAAGCAAAGAGACCUCCAAAGACCAUCUAGAUGGUCUCAUAAGACCAUAGGUAAGGAAAGAGAUCUUCAAAGACCAUCAUAAGACCAUAUGUAAGCAAAAAGACCACCAAAGACCAUCUAUAUGGUCUCAUAAGACCACAGGUAAGGAAAGGGACCCUCAAAGGCCAUCUAGAUGGUUUCAUAUGACCAUAGAUAAGGAAAAGGGCACCCAAAGGCCAUCUAGACAAUCUCAUAAAACCAUAGGUAAGGAAAGGGACCCUCAAAGGCCAUCUAGAUGAUCUCAUCAGGCCAUCAGAAGACCAUAGAUAAGGAAAGGGACCCUGAAAGACCAUCUAGAUGGUUUCAUAAGACCAUAGAUAAGGAAUAGGGCCCCCAAAGGCCAUCUAGACAAUUUCAUAAAACCAUAGGUAAGGAAAGGGACCCUCAAAGGCCAGGUAGACCAUCUCAUAGGACCAUAGGUAAGGAAAGAGAUCUCCAAAGACCAGGUAGACUUACGUCAACCCUAAGUCUAAAGUUUAGGACAGGGGCCAGGUCAAUGACCCGCGGGCCUUAGUUUGGGGACCCCUGCUCUAUACCUCUCCUGAGAGGCCUUUUAGGACUAAAGGGUGGAGCUAGGGGUGGGGGCGGGGCCUCUUUGCAAGAGCCUCUGUAUUCCUCCCCUGCGGCACUUGUUAGAACACGGGGCGGGGUAUAGAGGUUCAGCCCCGUCAGGCACUUGAGAAGAGGCCCCGCCCCCUCUAUCCCCGCCCCCUUUGUCCUGGUAGGCGCCGCAGGACAGGGAUAGAAGCUCAGCCCUGCCUCAGAGCUUGUAACUCCGCCCAUUUGUGGCCCCACCCACCUCCCCUCGCAGCCCUGCAUCUUGGACUGGGGGAGAGGCUCAGCCCCGCCCUCUUGAGCAGGAGCCACGCCCACCCCUUUAAACCACACCUCUCUUUCCAGGCGGUGCUGAGUCAUAUUUUUUCUGGAAAGGCCAAAUAAGUUGGGAACCACUGUCAUAGACUC